rnacentral:misc_RNA from 1 species
ACAAACUUGGUCAUUUAGAGGAAGUACAAGUCGUAACAAGGUUUCCGUAGGUGAACCUGCGGAAGGAUCAUUAUUGAAUAAACCUGGUAGGUUGUCGCUGGCUUCUCGGAGCAUGUGCACGCCCGCCAUCUUUAUCCAUCCACCUGUGCACUCAUUGUAGUCCAAAGAGAUGAACGCGGCAGAGCCUCGAUAGGUCGAUCUGGCCUAUCGGAUGUGGGGAAUUGCCUUGCGUCAAGCUUGGCUUUCCUCCGAAGCCUGUAGUUCACUCUUUCGACUAUGUUUUUCAUUAUACCAUGUAGCAUGUUGCAGAAUGCAUCAAAUGGGCCUCUGUGCCUGUAAUUAUCAAUACAACUUUCAGCAACGGAUCUCUUGGCUCUCGCAUCGAUGAAGAACGCAGC